CAGCCGCCACGGUAAUACAGAGGGUGCAAGCGUUAAUCGGAAUUACUGGGCGUAAAGCGCGCGUAGGUGGUUUGUUAAGUUGGAUGUGAAAUCCCCGGGCUCAACCUGGGAACUGCAUCCAAAACUGGCAAGCUAGAGUAUGGUAGAGGGUGGUGGAAUUUCCUGUGUAGCGGUGAAAUGCGUAGAUAUAGGAAGGAACACCAGUGGCGAAGGCGACCACCUGGACUGAUACUGACACUGAGGUGCGAAAGCGUGGGGAGCAAACAGGAUUAGAUACCCCUGUAGUCCCUGUCUCUUUACA
rnacentral:rRNA from 1 species